UACGGAGGGAGCUAGCGUUGUUCGGAAUUACUGGGCGUAAAGCGUACGUAGGCGGUUAUUCAAGUCAGAGGUGAAAGCCCGGGGCUCAACCCCCGGAAACGGCCUUUUGAAACUAGAUAGCUAGAGUCUUGGAGAGGUUAGUGGAAUUCCGAGUGUAGAGGUGAAAUUCGUAGAUAUUCGGAAGAACACCAGUGGCGGAAGGCGACUCACUGGACACAUAUUGACGCUGAGGGUGCGAAAAGCGUGGGGAGCGGAACAGG
rnacentral:rRNA from 1 species